rnacentral:rRNA from 1 species
AUGUUGAUUGUACCGAACGAAGGAUUUGCCUUAUCACGAAAGCCACAUUCGUUCCGUUUGAGGAAGUCACACGUCCUGUUCCCUAUAAAUAAGGAGAUUCAUUCUUUUUUUUCAGAAAUCCCCUCAGAGCGGAUCUAUCAAAUGGCAUGGCUGGCUGGCGGAUGUGAUCUAUUCUUGUGUCACAUCGUUUUCUUUCUUCUCCCUCCAUUUUCUUCACUACUACCGCUUCUACACAUAAAUCAAAGAAGCAUUGUGGAAUAG